UAUGGUCUAGUAGCUCUCUGAGGCUUGCUCC
rnacentral:piRNA from 1 species